GUAAGGUCCUCUCUGCGACGUCAGGGGGCUUGCGCCCGCACGAAAGCCCCGCCCCUCCAGGCGCCAGAGGCGACCUGGGCGGGGGGCCUCGGGCCACGCCCCCAGCCGAGCCGAGAGGGGCCGAGCGGAGCCGAGCGCCUCCGAGUGCGGCCGGGCCGAGCCGAGCGGCCCGGAGUCGGUUGGUGCAGCUGCGUCCCCGCCGCCCAGCCGUCCGCGGCUCCGGCGUCGCCGCCGCCUCCGCCUCCGCGCGGUCUGCGCCGGCCGGCCAGCCGGUCGCUCGCCAGCCGGGAGGGAGGCCUGGAGCGCGCGGAGAGCGGCCCGGCCGCGGGCGCCGCCGCCGCCACCGCUGCCAGGAUGAGAAAACUGGUGAGGUGGUGACUUGACCAGAGACAAUCAACACGCAGGAGAGAAAUGAGCUAGGAUUUGAGGGAUUUGAGGUCCAAGCCCCUGGCGGUGAGAGCCAGGAAACAUCCCACCCGGAGAACUGGAGAAUUUGGACUCUGAAGAUGGCUAGAGGUACCCCCUCCUCCAGGGAGCCUUCCCUGACCCCUCAGGGGUCAGGGGUCAGGGGUCCGCUUCUCCUCUGUUUCUCCUGGAGCUUAUUGUGGGCAUGGUGGCACUUAGCACCCUACGUAUUUACCGGUCUCCUCAGCCUAACAGUGCUGGAAGGACAGGGUUAUGACAAAGUACCCUGUGAUCUAGGACAAAGAUUGCUUUCUCCAGUUCAGGUGAAAGCCACGC
ensembl:lncRNA